CGGGAUGUAGGGUUUCCCGGUUCACUUCAUAUUCUUUGGGAGCAGGAGGUCGCAGGUUCGAAUCCUGCCAUCCCGA
rnacentral:tRNA from 1 species